CCCCCCCCCCCCCCCCCCCCCCCCCCCCCCCCCCCGCUCCCGCCGCUCGCCGGAUGGGGCCUGUGACAGUGGCGCCCUGAAGCCACUCGUGGGUCCGGCCAGCGGGGGCGGAGCGUCGGGUCCGGAUGGCUCUGCGGCCCGCCUUUAAGACGAACGAGCUGAUUCAGGCUUCAGACUCGUCAUGGGAAAAGCCGACCUCAGGGCCGUCGGUCUUCCUCAGUCAGUACUUGCCGAGCACCUGCCGUGCGUGCCUGUGCCCGCAGCCCGCAGCCCGCUGGGGUGGCAGAAGCAGGGCCCGCACCGACGCGUUUAUGGCCACAGAGAGCUUUUCUCCCCCCCGCAGCCUGUGAGAGCCGCCAGGACUCGGCCACGAACUUGACCAGCCCCAAUGGCAGCAACAGUAUUAGCAUGUCGGUGGAGAUUAACGGGGUCAUGUACACAGGAGUGCUGUUUGCCCAGCCGCCGGCGCCCGCACCGCCCCCAGCUCCCAGCAAAGGCGGCGGCGGCCGGGGAGGGAGCAGCGGGACCAGCGGCAGCGGCCAGGCCGGCCCGGCGGGCUUGUCCACACCCGCCACGUCUUCUACCUCAAAUAAUUCAUUGCCUUAACCGCGCCACCCCCCACCUGCCACCCCCCACCCCCGCCUGGGCGAGGGGGUCGAGGUGGGCCAGGCAGGGGCCGGACGACGGAAGAUACGGGUGGGGAGGGGAGGCGUCCACAAAGGAGCCACAGCUAAAGCCAAAAAGAGAAGAAAAAUAUAUAUACAUAUAUAUAUAAAGAAAAUUUAAUAAAACAGGGGAAAACCAAGGAACACUUGAAUUACUCAGGUUUCGGACAUUCAGAGACAUGAUCGUGAGAACAGCGACGGAAGUCAGAAAGGAGAGGCAUUUGUUCCGGGGUCCCACAGCCCUGCUGGACCAGCUGCCCGGGGUCUGGGGUCUGCUGGGACCAGUGGCCGUGGGAGGCCGAUCCUGUUUACCUCAUACAUCUCUGCACUGUGUGUUUUCAUUUUUGUCUGUUUUUUCCCUUCCUUUUUUUCUCCCAUUCAUCACACACCACACCCAGCUCCUUGUGUUGAAUGAAACCCCUGAGCCACGAGCAGUAGAAUUUUUUUCUCCUUGCUUUUAGAGAACUUUUUUUUUUUUAAAGAAACAGUGAUACUCAAACUCUAUAGGGUUUUUAAGAGGUUUUGGGGUUUUUGUUUUGUAAAUAAUCUAUUUUAUUCUUGGGGGAGGACUCAAACCUUAGGAAAAGGAUAUAUAUAUCUAUAUAUUUGUGUUCAUUCAGGGAAACUGGGCUUGAAAAUGCAAAAAAAAAAAAAAAAAAAAGAAAAAAGUAAUACCCUUUUUAUUUUCCCAUAACUGAUUCGGGUCCUUUGUGCGUUUCCUGCAGUGAGGUGGCGGCUGGCAGGCCAGGCCCGGCCCGGAGAGGCCGUGUACUCAGGUGUGGGCGCGGGCGGGGGUGCUGAGCGGCACCAACCGGGCACCGCGGCCCUGUCUCUGCUGUGCGGUGUGCGCCGGCCUUCCUGGCAGGCGGAGGCUGGAAGUCUUCGGUAGAAAGUGCAGGGCGAAGGGCCCCAGGGGUGGGGGGGGCCACCUGUCACCGCCCCACACUCCUGUCUCAGGGAUGAAUGUGGCCUGGGGGCUCUCUUGUGUGAAAGGGCUACUCUGGGAGAUUAUCCGUACUGGGGACAGGGACAGGGUGAGCCGGGCUUAGCUCAGGGCGAGGGUUUUGAGGCCAUGGCAUCCUGAACCCCCCCCCCCAUUCUCUUCUCCUUAACUCUGUCUCCUCGUCCUCUCUGGCCCCUUUGGCUUGGGGCCACACUUCCCUGCAGGAACUAAAGUCACUGAAUGGAGACCACACCGGGUCCCUGCAGGUCCAGUCCUGGUUAGAAGGUGGGUGUGGGGGGGCGGGGGGGG
ensembl:lncRNA